GUGCUUGCUUUGGCAGCACAUAUACUAAAAUUGGAAUGAUUCAGAGAAGAUUAGCAUGGCCUCUGCACGAGGAUGACGCACAAAUUUGCGAAGCAUUCCAUAUUUUU
rnacentral:snRNA from 1 species